rnacentral:tRNA from 1 species
GGAGAGGUGGCCGAGUGGCUGAAGGCGCUCCCCUGCUAAGGGAGUAAGGGAUUAAAAGUCCCUUCGAGGGUUCGAAUCCCUCCCUCUCCGCCA